rnacentral:rRNA from 1 species
UACAUGGGGUGCAAACGUUGCUCGGAAUUAUUGGGCGUAAAGCGCACGUAGGUGGUCUGUUAUGUCAGAUGUGAAAGCCCUCGGCUUAACUGAGGAAGUGCACCUGAAACUGGCAGGCUUGAGUACGAAAGAGGGUCGCGGAAUUCCCGGUGUAGAGGUGAAAUUCGUAGAUAUUCGCAAGAACACCAGUGGCGAAGGCGGCUCACUGGCCCGAUACUGACGCUGAGGCACGAAAGCGUGGGGAGCAAACAGG